rfam:Peptostreptococcaceae bacterium CCRI-22567 contig-2, whole genome shotgun sequence.
AUAUUACUGGAGUAUUCGUCAAUCAUUAUUAAAUUCAACCGACAAUAUUUAUACGGGAGACCGUUGUUCAGACUACAAAAAUAUGCCUUGGCGUCACGGACGUAUCCUGGUAAUUAGCGUAGCUUGACAGGUCACCCACCUGGGAUUCAUCUCGGGAGUGAAUUUAUGUGAUAACGGUACCCCGGUUUUUUA